rnacentral:rRNA from 1 species
AGUGAACGCUGGCGGCAGGCCUAACACAUGCAAGUCGAACGGCAGCACGGGUGCUUGCACCUGGUGGCGAGUGGCGAACGGGUGAGUAAUAUAUCGGAACGUACCUUAUCGUGGGGGAUAACGCAGCGAAAGCUGCGCUAAUACCGCAUACGAUCUCUGGAUGAAAGCGGGGGACUCGCAAGGGCCUCGCGCGAUUGGAGCGGCCGAUGGCAGAUUAGGUAGUUGGUGGGAUAAAAGCUUACCAAGCCGACGAUCUGUAGCUGGUCUGAGAGGACGACCAGCCACACUGGGACUGAGACACGGCCCAGACUCCUACGGGAGGCAGCAGUGGGGAAUAUUGGACAAUGGGCGAAAGCCUGAUCCAGCAAUGCCGCGUGAGUGAUGAAGGCCUUAGGGUUGUAAAGCUCUUUUACCCGAGAUGAUAAUGACAGUAUCGGGAGAAUAAGCUCCGGCUAACUCCGUGCCAGCAGCCG